GGGCCCAUGGCGCAGUGGAAGCGCGUCUCGUUUGCAACGAGAAGGUCGUCGGUUCAAUCCCGACUGGGUCCACUA
rnacentral:tRNA from 1 species